GGAGCAUAAGCUCACGUGGAUUACCUGUAGGGUCUCCAUCAGGAAGCCCUAGGUGCCGGCAAGAAGGGUAGUGGAAAGACGUGACCUGCCCUCAAGCAGCUCAGCCUCACGGGGAAAAGAAAUGUGUAAAGAGCUGAACUUAGGGUCAUGGAUGUUGUAUGGACAAGGAGUUUGAAAAACUUGGCUGGAGGGGAGGACUUUGCAUUGUAAUGUCCCAUCUCUUCCUCGUACCCUACCUCUGCUUUCUGAGAUAGAUAAACAAAUGGAUGAUAGAUAAAUAGAUAGAUAGAUAGAUGAUAGAUAGAUAGUAGAUAGAUAUCAGAAGAUAGGUCUGCUAUCUAUCGGUUUUUUUGUGGGACCCCACACAAAAUAGUUGUGGGGAAAAUGUUACCUCUUUAAAUAAUGGGAUGCCUUCAACAAGGCAAAGGUUUUAUUUAUUUUCUCCACCACAGUGCACACACUGGAAGGUUGCCUUUAUUAUAUCCAUUUCUGUAUUCGUACCAGCACCUCGCAAAAUAAUGUGAGUAUGGUAAGGCUCCAUAGAUGUUUGCAAAAUUUAAUUCAAGUAUCCCUGUCUCCAGGGGAGUUCUAAUAAGCUCUUAGCUAUAACACUUUUAAGUAUGGUAAAGACAUGUUUUUGGGUGAGUGACUCUCCAGUAAACUUCAGGUGACAGUGCACACAGAAGCCUUUCCUACAUAAAAGGAAGGUAAAAAGAGCACCACUCAGGUGCCAAGAAAAGCAAUUGAAGGACUAGAUUCUUGUUUACAAUGAAAUUCUCCCUUUAACUAGGAAUCUGGAUGAAAAAGGUAAACCCUAGUUUCAUAAAAGUUAGAAGAAACACAAAAGGAUGCUUAUAGCUAUCAGUGAAUACUGAGGGGGUGAGGGGAGGCAAGUGAAUGGAAUUUUCCCAGCCAAGGCAGGAAAGCUGUGACAUUGUGACAUAGGGAACAAGGUUAAAAGUAGGGCACUGGACUCAGGAAGGC
rnacentral:lncRNA from 1 species